GACGAACGCUGGCGGCGUGCUUAACACAUGCAAGUCGAACGGUGAAGCGCCUUCCUUUUUGGUGGGUGUGGAUGAGUGGCGAACGGGUGAGUAACACGUGAGUAACCUGCCCCCUUCUUCUGGAUAACCGCAUGAAAGUGUUGCUAAUACGGGAUAUUCUGGGUCUGUCGCAUGAUGGGUCUGGGAAAGAUAUUGUUUCGGUGGGGGAUGGGCUCGCGGCCUAUCAGCUUGUUGGUGGGGUGAUGGCCUACCAAGGCGGUGACGGGUAGCCGGCCUGAGGGGGUGGACGGUCACACUGGGACUGAGACACGGCCCAGACUCCUACGGGAGGCAGCAGGGGGGAAUAUUGCACAAUGAGCGCAAGACUGAUGCAGCGACGCCGCGUGAGGGAUGGAGGCCUGCGGGUUGUGAACCUCUUUCGACAGUGAAGCAGGCCUGCCUCGUUUGUGGGUGGGUUGACGGUAGCUGGAGAAGAAGCGCCGGCUAACUACGUG
rnacentral:rRNA from 1 species